UACGGAGGGUGCAAGCGUUACUCGGAAUCACUGGGCGUAAAGAGCGCGUAGGCGGGCCGCUAAGCGGGACCUCUAAUCUUGGGGCUCAACCUCAAGCCGGGUCCCGAACUGGCAGCCUCGAGUGCGGUAGGGGUAAGCGGAAUUCCCGGUGUAGCGGUGGAAUGCGCAGAUAUCGGGAAGAACACCGAUGGCGAAGGCAGCUUACUGGGCCGACACUGACGCUGAGGCGCGAAAGCUAGGGGAGCGAACAGG
rnacentral:rRNA from 1 species